GGGAGGGAGCUGUUCCUGUCUCUAUUUCCAGAUGCAGAACAAGGUCAAAGAGGUGAAUUCCCUUGCCCACGAUUAUGUAAUGGGCAGCAGAGCCGCUCUCAAAGUCAGGGCUCCCUGUCUCUCCAGGCUGCGUUUUUUUCCUGGCGCACAUAAUCACUAAAAUGCCAGGAAGCAGAGGCUUCCUGGAAGAACUGCUGAAAGAACCGUGCAAGAGGAGGUGGGAUCACGGGGACCUGGAGGAAGGGCUGGAGUGCAGAGCCCAGGGUCCCUCUUUGCUGCUCUGCGUGCCCAGGCAUUGCCUGCUCUCUUCCCCAGAGCAGCUGCCACAGAGGAAGGCCAUUGUUGAACUGCCCCAAGCCCACUUCUGACAUAGGGAUAGCAGGAUUGUUUUGACCUCAGAGAUGGACCAAGGGUGCGCACUUCUGACGAAUGCUUGGGCACUCCUUACGCUGCUGGUCCAAGGGCCACACUUGGAGAAGAAAGAGAUGCUACGGGACAAGCUGGGCCAGCUCCGCCCUUCGCCUGUCGCUACAGAUUAUUAUGCGCAUGCUGCCUUUCCAGAGCGGUGGCCAUGCAACUGGAUUCGACAGACAGGUACGCAGUGCUCAUCAGGUCUCAGGCAACACCAGGCGCCUUCUCAUUGGCCUCCCUCCGUCCUCCCUGCAUCUCUGAGGGGGAUUUACAGGUGAGAGCUG
rnacentral:lncRNA from 1 species